AAUUGUUCGCAAUGGGCGCAAGCCUGACGACGCAACGCCGCGUGGAGGAUGAAGACCCUCGGGUCGUAAACUCCUUUCGACCGAGAUGAACAUCCAUGGGGCUAAUACCCCCGUGGACUGACAGUAUCGGGAGAAGAAGCCCCGGCUAACUCCGUGCCAGCAGCCGCGGUAAUACGGGGGGGGGCAAGCGUGGUUCGGAAUUACUGGGCGUAAAGGGUCCGUAGGCGGCCAACUAAGUCAGACGUGAAAUCCCCCGGCUUAACCGGGGAACUGCGUCUGAUACUGGUUGGCUUGAGUGCAGGAGAGGAACGCGGAAUUCCAGGUGUAGUGGUGAAAUGCGUAGAUAUCGGGAGGAAUACCCGUGGCGAAGGCGACCUUCUGGACCGUUUCUGACGCUCAGAUGCGAAAGCCAGGGGAGCGAACGGG
rnacentral:rRNA from 1 species